UACGGGGGGGGGCAAGCGUUGUUCGGAAUUACUGGGCGUAAAGGGCUCGUAGGCGGCCAACUAAGUCGGAUGUGAAAUCCCCAGGCUUAACUUGGGAACUGCAUCCGAUACUGGAUGGCUUGAAUCCGGGAGAGGGAUGCGGAAUUCCAGGUGUAGCGGUGAAAUGCGUUGAUAUCUGAAGGAACACCGGUGGCGAAGGCGGCC
rnacentral:rRNA from 1 species